GUUGUAUAGUCAAGUAAUUAAGUGCAUGUGGUGGAUGCCUUGGCAGUCAGAGGCGAUGAAAGACGUGAUAGCCUGCGAAAAGCUCCGGGAGGCGGCAAAUAUCCUUUGAUCCGGAGAUGUCUGAAUGGGGAACCCACCUACUUUAAGGUAGGUAUUGCAACAUGAAUACAUAGUGUUGCAAGGCGAACGAGGGGAAGUGAAACAUCUCAGUACCCUUAGGAAAAGAAAUCAAUUGAGAUUCCCUCAGUAGCGGCGAGCGAACGGGGAUCAGCCCAUUAAGUUAUGUGUGUUUUAGUGGAACGCUCUGGGAAGUGCGAACGUAGAGGGUGAUAUUCCCGUACACGAAAGGGCACACAUAAUGAUGACGAGUAGGGCGAGGCACGUGAAACCUUGUCUGAAUAUGGGGGACCAUCCUCCAAGGCUAAAUACUCCUGACUGACCGAUAGUGAACCAGUACCGUGAGGGAAAGGCGAAAAGAACCCCUGUGAGGGGAGUGAAAUAGAUCCUGAAACCGCAUGCAUACAAGCAGUGGGAGCACCUUCGUGGUGUGACUGCGUACCUUUGUAUAAUGGGUCAGCGACUUAUAUUCAGUAGCGAGGUUAACCGUAUAGGGGAGCCGUAGAGAAAUCGAGUCUUAAUAGGGCGUUUAGUUGCUGGGUAUAGACCCGAAACCAGGCGAUCUAUCCAUGAGCAGGUUGAAGGUUGGGUAACACUAACUGGAGGACCGAACCCACUGUCGUUGAAAAGCCAGGGGAUGACUUGUGGAUAGGGGUGAAAGGCUAAUCAAGCCUGGUGAUAGCUGGUUCUCCCCGAAAGCUAUUUAGGUAGCGCCUCGGACGAAUACCAUAGGGGGUAGAGCACUGUUUCGGCUAGGGGGUCAUCCCGACUUACCAAACCGAUGCAAACUCCGAAUACCUAUGAGUACUAUCCGGGAGACAGACUGCGGGUGCUAACGUCCGUAGUCAAGAGGAAAACAAUCCAGACCGCCAGCUAAGGCCCCAAAAUCAUAGUUAAGUGGGAAACGAUGUGGGAAGGCAUAGACAGCUAGGAGGUUGGCUUAGAAGCAGCCACCCUUUAAAGAAAGCGUAAUAGCUCACUAGUCGAGUCGGCCUGCGCGGAAGAUGUAACGGGGCUAAAACUAUGUGCCGAAGCUGCGGAUGUAUACUUUGUAUACGUGGUAGGGGAGCGUUCUGUAAGCCGAUGAAGGUGUGUUGAGAAGCAUGCUGGAGGUAUCAGAAGUGCGAAUGCUGACGUGAGUAACGACAAAACGGGUGAAAAACCCGUUCGCCGAAAGACCAAGGGUUCCAGUCCAACGUUAAUCGGGGCUGGGUGAGUCGACCCCUAAGGCGAGGCCGAAAGGCGUAGUCGAUGGGAAAAUGGUUAAUAUUCCAUUACUUCUGUGUAAUGCGAUGAGAGGACGGAGAAGGCUAAAUCAGCCUGGCGUUGGUUGUCCAGGUGAAAGGAUGUAGGCAUGUAUCUUAGGCAAAUCCGGGGUACUCUAUGCUGAGAUCUGAUAGCAAGCUGUACUUGUACAGCGAAGUGGUUGAUGCCAUGCUUCCAGGAAAAGUCUCUAAGCUUCAGUUACACAGGAAUCGUACCCGAAACCGACACAGGUGGUCAGGUCGAGUAGACCAAGGCGCUUGAGAGAACUCUGCUGAAGGAACUAGGCAAAAUGGUACCGUAACUUCGGGAGAAGGUACGCUGUUGUUGGUGAUGGAACUCGCUUCCUGAGCUGACGACAGCCGCAGAAACCAGGCCGCUGCAACUGUUUAUUAAAAACAUAGCACUCUGCAAACACGAAAGUGGACGUAUAGGGUGUGAUGCCUGCCCGGUGCUGGAAGGUUAAUUGAUGGGGUUAGCGUAAGCGAAGCUCUUGAUCGAAGCCCCAGUAAACGGCGGCCGUAACUAUAACGGUCCUAAGGUAGCGAAAUUCCUUGUCGGGUAAGUUCCGACCUGCACGAAUGGCAUAAUGAUGGCGGCGCUGUCUCCAGCAGAGGCUCAGUGAAAUCGAAAUCGCUGUGAAGAUGCAGUGUACCCGCGGCUAGACGGAAAGACCCCGUGAACCUUUACUGCAGCUUGACACUGAACUUUGACCUUACUUGUGUAGGAUAGGUGGGAGGCUUUGAAGCUGGAACGCUAGUUCCAGUGGAGCCGUCCUUGAAAUACCACCCUGGUAAUGUUGAGGUUCUAACUCUGUCCCGUGAUCCGGGACGAGGACCGUGUCUGGUGGGUAGUUUGACUGGGGCGGUCUCCUCCUAAAGAGUAACGGAGGAGUACGAAGGUGCGCUCAGCGUGGUCGGAAAUCACGCGUAGAGUAUAAAGGCAAAAGCGCGCUUAACUGCGAGACCCACAAGUCGAGCAGGUACGAAAAGUAGGUCUUAGUGAUCCGGUGGUUCUGUAUGGAAGGGCCAUCGCUCAACGGAUAAAAGGUACUCUGGGGAUAACAGGCUGAUACCGCCCAAGAGUUCAUAUCGACGGCGGUGUUUGGCACCUCGAUGUCGGCUCAUCUCAUCCUGGGGCUGAAGCAGGUCCCAAGGGUAUGGCUGUUCGCCAUUUAAAGAGGUACGCGAGCUGGGUUUAGAACGUCGUGAGACAGUUCGGUCCCUAUCUACCGUGGGCGCUGGAAAUUUGAGAGGAUCUGCUCCUAGUACGAGAGGACCAGAGUGGACGAACCUCUGGUGUACCGGUUGUGACGCCAGUCGCAUCGCCGGGUAGCUAUGUUCGGAAGGGAUAACCGCUGAAAGCAUCUAAGCGGGAAGCCUACCUCAAGAUAAGAUUUCCCUAGGACUUUAUGUCCUCUAAAGAGCCGUUCGAGACUAGGACGUUGAUAGGUUGGAUGUGGAAGCAUAGUGAUAUGUGAAGCUGACCAAUACUAAUUGCUCGUGAGGCUUGACUAUACAACACCCAAGCAGUUG
rnacentral:rRNA from 1 species